UAAAAGUAGUACACAAGUAUACUAAACACGGCGCCGGUACUCGACUACAACAACUCGAAUUUCGUUACGAUUUUUUUUCGUAGUCUGGCGAAUGUAUGCGAAUCGACGUUGAUUAAUUAUUAUUAUUCGUAUGUAGAGUGAAAAUAGGUUUUUGGAGUAGGUUGUUGCGGUGUACAAUUAUCGUGGCCGCCGACUCGGUGACGUUCAA